ACGGGAAGAGCCCAAACCAACAAGCUUGCUUGUUGGGGUUGUAGGACACUCUAUACGGAGUUACAAAGGACGACAUUAGACGAAUCAUCUGGAAAGAUGAAUCAAAGAAGGUAAUAAUCCUGUAGUCGAAAAUGUUGUCUCUCUUGAGUGGAUCCUGAGUACGACGGAGCACGUGAAAUUCCGUCGGAAUCUGGGAGGACCAUCUCCUAAGGCUAAAUACUCUCUAGUGACCGAUAGUGAACCAGUACCGUGAGGGAAAGGUGAAAAGCACCCCGGAAGGGGAGUGAAAUAGAACCUGAAACCGUGUGCUUACAAGUAGUCAGAGCCCGUUAAUGGGUGAUGGCGUGCCUUUUGUAGAAUGAACCGGCGAGUUACGAUUUGAUGCAAGGUUAAGCAGUAAAUGUGGAGCCGUAGCGAAAGCGAGUCUGAAUAGGGCGUUUAGUAUUUGGUCGUAGACCCGAAACCAGGUGAUCUACCCUUGGUCAGGUUGAAGUUCAGGUAACACUGAAUGGAGGACCGAACCGACUUACGUUGAAAAGUGAGCGGAUGAACUGAGGGUAGCGGAGAAAUUCC
rnacentral:rRNA from 1 species